GUGAGUCAUCGAAUCUUUGAACGCAUAUUGCACCGGCGGGGACAACGCAUCCGCCGGUCUGCCUGUCUGAGUAUCACGUACACCCCAGUGCCAAUAACGGGCGUGCCCGGACAUUGAGCGGCUGGAGAUCGCGCGCUAGUAGAUAGUGGGCGGAAGUGGGUUGUGGAUAGUAAUGUCCAUUCCCUUAAACCGAGUGGCUGCGACGGAUGCGCACACUACAGGCCGUGUUGAAGCAUUGUUAAUCAUCCUCGGAUGUCUCUGCUUACUAACAACACGCGUCCCGGUAGGCAUCGACGGCAC
rnacentral:misc_RNA from 1 species